rnacentral:rRNA from 1 species
UACGGAAGGUCCAAGCGUUAAUCGGAAUUACUGGGCGUAAAGCGCGCGUAGGUGGUUUAUUAAGUUGGAUGUGAAAUCCCCGGGCUCAACCUGGGAACUGCAUCCAAAACUGAUUCACUAGAGUACGAUAGAGGGAGGUAGAAUUCACAGUGUAGCGGUGGAAUGCGUAGAUAUUGUGAAGAAUACCAAUGGCGAAGGCAGCCUCCUGGAUCUGUACUGACACUGAGGUGCGAAAGCGUGGGUAGCGAACAGG